GAGGGUAUAGCUCAAUGGUAGAGCACGUGCUUAGCAUGAACAGGAUCCUGGGUUCAGUCCCCAGUACCUCCA
rfam:Camelus ferus unplaced genomic scaffold scaffold1264, whole genome shotgun sequence.